GGUGGUUUUGGCUCUUGCCUCGAGCCCCUUCCUGUUACUCCCCCUGGACUUCAGGGGUCCCUCCCUGUGUUCUGGGGUCCCUCCCUGAGUUCUGGGGUCUCCCAGAAUCCCAGGGGGUCUCCCCUGUAUUUGGGGGACCCCCUCCCCGGGUUUUGGGGCCCCCCCUGACCCCCUUUUUCCCCCCCUUUAGGUCCAGGGCGUCCGCACCGAGUUCACGGUGGAGGUUUACGAGACCCACGCGCGGAUCGCGCUGGAGAAGGGCGACCACGAGGAGUUCAACCAGUGCCAGACGCAGCUGAAGGCGCUUUACGGGGAGAACCUGCCCGGCUGCGUCGGGGAGUUCACGGCCUAUCGCAUCCUCUACUGCAUCUUCACCCGCAACUCGGGGGAGCUGACCACAGAGCUGGCCCUGCUGCCCCCCAGCCUGAGGACAGACCCCUGUGUGUCCCACGCCCUUUCCCUCCGCGCCGCCUGGGCCUUGGGGCUCUGGAGCCGCUUCUUCCGGCUGCACGGGGCGGCCCCGGCCAUGGGAGGGAAACUCAUCGACCUGUUUGCCGAGAGGGAGCGUCGGGCAGCCCUCAGGGCCAUGAUCAAGGCGUAGGUGGGGCCGGGGGGCCGCGGGGGGGGACGGGAUUUUGGGGGGGAAACCGGCGGGAAUCGGGCGGGAAACGGGCGGGAAUUGGGGGGGGGGGGAAAGGAGGAGAUGGGAGGGGAAAUGACCUGAAAAUGAGGGGGGAACGGCCCAAAACUGAGGGGAAAAGACCCCAAAAGUGAGGGGAAAAGACCCCUGGAAUUGAGGGGAAAAGACCCCAAAACUGAGGGAAAAAGAAAGACCCCAAAACUGAGGGGAAAACGUCCCCAAAACUGAGGGGAAAAAGACCCCUGAAAUUGAGGGGAAAAGACCC